rfam:Frankia alni str. ACN14A chromosome, complete sequence.
GGGGGUGAUCGGUUUCGACUUCGGACGUCGAGGCAGGGGAAGCGGGCCGAGGAUGAACGGUUAUCUCGUUAACGAUCCGUUCAAAAAAAUAGCUGCCAACAAGACGCAGCCUGUUACCCCCCUGUACGCCCUCGCGGCGUAGGGACUAGGUAACCGUCAGCCUGGGAGUGCCUCCGGCCCAGGAUCUGACGUCGCUAGGAGGAUCACCGACUGACCCGGUCGCGGGGCCAGUUGGAAAAUCAAACAGCGACUGAGCCUACGUCGGCUUGCCUGUGGGUCCGACGGGGCUGAGAAACAAGUAGCAGGCUCCGCCCGGAGAAGCCCUGUGUCGGUGCCGGAGGACGCGGGUUCGAUUCCCGCCACCUCCACCC